GGCCAUUCUGUGGAGGUCAGAGACAGAAGUUAGUACUUAAUUCUCUACUAAAAGCAAACAUACUGUAAAAAGAAAGCAUCAUAAAAACGAUGUACGGGGAAAGAAGACUCAAGUAUACCUCCACAUCCAUUCCCAAGGCAGGUGCAUCUUGAGCCAGACUUGAAUGCUGAUGGAUGGUUGAUGGAUGGUUGGAUGAAAGGGUGGAGGAGGUUUUUUGAGGGCCCGUGUCCCCAGUGCUCUGGUGGAAGUAAGGCAUUUCAGAGAAUUUGGCAGUACAUCCAACCGGCCUCAGAACUGCAGACCAUGUGUAACCACACCAGCCCAGGACCUCCACAUCCAGCAUCUUCACCUCCAAGAUCGUCUGACACCAGCUGCUG